CGGGGGAAUCGCGCUGCUGGGGUAAAAGCUGGAGCGAGGCGAAAGCGUGUAACAAUUGCACUCGCGCACACACACACACACACCACUCACACGCACUCGCCGCCCGCCCGCUCGCACAGCGCUGAAACACGCGCGCCCAGACACGCACACACGCACGCACACACACUCGCACACACGCAGAGGCACGGGGGGGAAAAGAAGCCGAUGAAUAAUUUUGCUGCUAUUUUUUUAAAUACUGGCCGCCAUCAUCAAGCAGCGAGCAGCAGCAGCAGCGUUGAAGGGAGAGGAGGCAUCGGGACAGGCCCCUCUUAGGAGAGGAUUUAUAUCUAGUUGGAAAAAAAAAAAAAAAAAAAAAAAAAGAAAAGAAAAA